CAAUACUGAUGAGUCCCAAACAGGACGAAACAGCUGUCCAGUGC
rnacentral:hammerhead_ribozyme from 1 species